GACGAACGCUGGCGGCGUGCCUAAUACAUGCAAGUCGAGCGAGUCUGCCUUGAAGAUCGGAGUGCUUGCACUCUGUGAAACAAGAUACAGGCUAGCGGCGGACGGGUGAGUAACACGUGGGUAACCUGCCCAAGAGAUCGGGAUAACACCUGGAAACAGAUGCUAAUACCGGAUAACAACAGAUGAUGCCUAUCAACUGUUUAAAAGAUGGUUCUGCUUUCACUCUUGGAUGGACCUGCGGUGCAUUAGCUAGUUGGUAGGGUAACGGCCUACCAAGGCGAUGAUGCAUAGCCGAGUUGAGAGACUGAUCGGCCACAUUGGGACUGAGACACGGCCCAAACUCCUACGGGAGGCAGCAGUAGGGAAUCUUCCACAAUGGACGCAAGUCUGAUGGAGCAACGCCGCGUGAGUGAAGAAGGGUUUCGGCUCGUAAAGCUCUGUUGUUGGUGAAGAAGGACAGGGGUAGUAACUGACCUUUGUUUGACGGUAAUCAAUUAGAAAGUCACGGCUAACUACGUG
rnacentral:rRNA from 1 species